ACGUCCGCGGCCCCGCCCCGCGGGCGAAGGGGUUUCGGGACUGCCGAAGGUGCUCUCCCGCGGAGCUGUUUCCAAAAGUACACGUCGUGCGGUUUUGAGUCAUUGUGUUCUGGAGUGAGACGAGGCGAGGGCAAGUUGAAGACAUCUUCAGAUGACAAACAAAAGCAGAGUUAGCUGCCAUAGGCCCUUACCAUGGAAACUACUGAAGAAUGAACCUAAGACACAAGAAAACUGAACCCAAAAGGAAAUAGGGAAAUGCAAGAAAAAAUGGGUUUUUGCCCUCUUGCCCAGGCUGAAUUGUAGUUGUGUGAUCUCAGCUCACUGCAACCUCUGCCUCCCAGGUUCAAGCAAUCCUCCCACCUCAGCCUCCCAAAGCACUGGGAUUACAGGUGUGAACCGCUACAGCAGCCUAGAUAGAAUGCAUGAUUUUUAAGAGGGAUUAUAUAGGUUGGCUGUGUCCCCACCCAAGUCUUAUCUUGAAUUGUAGUUCCCAUAAUCCCCAUGUGUCCUGGGAUGG